rnacentral:tRNA from 1 species
GGUUGUUUGGCCGAGCGGUCUAAGGCGCCUGAUUCAAGAAAUAUCUUGACCGCAGUU